rnacentral:rRNA from 1 species
CCUGUUGUUGAGGAAGAUAAUGACGGUACUCAACAAGGAAGUGACGGCUAACUACGUGCCAGCAGCCGCGGUAAAACGUAGGUCACAAGCGUUGUCCGGAAUUACUGGGUGUAAAGGGAGCGCAGGCGGGAAGACAAGUUGGAAGUGAAAUCCAUGGGCUCAACCCAUGAACUGCUUUCAAAACUGUUUUUCUUGAGUAGUGCAGAGGUAGGCGGAAUUCCCGGUGUAGCGGUGGAAUGCGUAGAUAUCGGGAGGAACACCAGUGGCGAAGGCGGCCUACUGGGCACCAACUGACGCUGAGGCUCGAAAGUGUGGGUAGCAAACAGGAUUAGAUACCCUGGUAGUCCACACUGUAAACGAUGAUUACUAGGUGUUGGAGGAUUGACCCCUUCAGUGCCGCAGUUAACACAAUAAGUAAUCCACCUGGGGAGUACGACCGCAAGGUUGAAACUCAAAGGAAUUGACGGGGGCCCGCACAAGCAGUGGAGUAUGUGGUUUAAUUCGACGCAACGCGAAGAACCUUACCAAGUCUUGACAUCCUGCGACGCASAUAGAAAUAUGUGUUUCCUUCGGGACGCAGAGACAGGUGGUGCAUGGUUGUCGUCAGCUCGUGUCGUGAGAUGUUGGGUUAAGUCCCGCAACGAGCGCAACCCUUAUGGUCAGUUACUACGCAAGAGGACUCUGGCCAGACUGC